CCCAUACACAUUUAUCAUUUAAUUGGAGAUAAUUACUUAGAUGAUAUGAUAACGGUUAAGUUUUAUUCCACCCCGCCCCCCGGCCCCAACACAUUUAUCAUUUAAUUUGGAGUGGAAAUAAAAUGAUAUCACCAUAAUCAGUUUGACGACAAAAAAAUCUACAAGUUUCAACAAUUUUUAGAACCCUAUUUUCUCAAGAAUUAAUAAUAAGUAAUUUUAAAAAUGAAGAGAACAUUGUUUUCAGUCUGUGUUGAGGUGUCUCCAAGCCAAAUAGAAUCCAAGCUACCUCCAAGCCUCAGGGUCAAGAACUGUCUUUUGAUGGGCUUAAAAAGGAUUCCGAGUGGUUCGGGCAGGGUUCUGCUAACUACCUGGGUUCGAACAGGAUAUUGCUGGGCACAUGGCCACAUGGCCCCCCUCCCUCGAUUAUGGACAGACGAAAAAUGGGCAAUGGUCACACUUACAAAAAGGACUAGUGGAUAAAUUGAAAAAAGACUAGUGGAUAAAUUGAAAAAGGACUAGUGGAUAAAUUGAAAAAGGACUAGUGGAUAAAUUGAAAAAGGACUAGUGGAUAAAUUGAAAAAGGACUAGUGGAUAAAUUGAAAAAAGGACUGGUGGAUAAAUUGAAAAAAGGACUGGUGGAUAAAUUGAAAAAAGGUCUAGUGGAUAAAUUGAAAAAAGGACUGGUGGAUAAAUUAAAAAAAGGACUAGUGGAUAAAUUGAAAAAGGACUAGUGGAUAAAUUGAAAAAGGACUAGUAGACUGUAAUAGGGGACUUUAUACACAUUUGUGAAUAUGACUAAACCAUGCAGACUAACAGACAACAAGAAAUAAAUUAUAAGUCUAGAAAAACAGAAAUAUUUUAAAUUUAAUAUUAUUAUAUUGACUCAAGGUUGU